ACUGCAGCUAGAUCCGUAGUGCGCAAUGUGGUGCUGUGUGGAGAUGCAAUGGUAGCAGACAGAAAAGCUGCUUACUCAGCUGAUUGCGUGAAACCAGGUACAAAAGAGUGUGAAAACAGCUGUGCAAGGGUGUGAAAUCAGGAAAAAAAAAGUAUCCUUUGUAUGAUCACUGACAACACGGUUCACUACUUACUCGCAGCUAUUUGUGUUCCAAGUAUGAAAACAUUGACAAGUUAUGCUUUCUCUUGUCAUGCUGAUCAUAUAUAUGGUCUGUCAUAGAAGACUUCUUGGCCCAUGAUGACCUUGCACACGUCUCACAAAUUAUUCCAGAUCCGUAGCAUACAAGUGGACUUGCGCUUUUUCCAGAAAUACCCACCUAAUAACUAUUUUACUAAUGGUGACAAUAAUGUUGCUCCAACACCAAAUCUCACAGGGAUCCUAACUUCCUGGUAAGUUUCUACACCAUCAACUGCCAAGUCACCAAAUUUAGAUUUUAUUAUUCCCACAAUAUCUCAAUAUCUCUAACUUAAUUAUAGUACUGAUGCUUCUUGCAUUAUAAUAUUACAGGACAUCUUCACUGCUUUUGUGAACAAAAACAGGCCCCUUGCGGAACUCUUUGUUUACCUAGAAUAACCAUAUGUAUAUUUUAGAUUUCUAUCUUAGACUAUGAAGCUGAUAGCUGUUAUCUCAACAAAUGCUAGAACCCUAUGUUCUAUUGUAAUAUAACUGCAAAUGCUAGAACUUCUUGUAAAGUACUCUAAUAUUUUGUUAUAAUAUAACCAGGAAAUUUUUCUC